rnacentral:misc_RNA from 1 species
CAGAGUUGUAAAACUCCCAAACCCUGUGAACAUACCUGAGACGUUGCUUCGGUGGGCGGCCCCAGGGAGGGGCCGUAUGCCUAUUGGUGCCCACCGGAGGACCCAAACUCUUUAUUUUAGUGGUCUCUCUGAGAAAUUUUUAAUAAGUCA